GACGAACGCUGGCGGCGUGCCUAAUACAUGCAAGUCGAGCGAAGCGGCGGACGGGUGAAUAACACGUAAGGAACCUACCGAUAAGCGGGGGACAACAUCCGGAAACGGGUGAUAAUACCGCAUACUUAUCGAUGGCCUUGUGGUGCAUUAGCUGGUUGGUGGGGUAACGGCCUACCAAGGCAAUGAUGCAUAGCCGACCUGGUAGGCUAAUCGGCCACAUUGGGACUGGGACACGGCCCUAACUCCUACGGGAGGCAGCAGUAUGGAAUCUUCCGCAAUGGGCGAAAGCCUGACGGAGCAACGCCGCGUGAGUGAAGAAGGUUUUCGGAUCGUAAAGCUCUGUUGUAAGAGAAGCGGUAUCUUACCAGAAAGCAACGGCUAACUACGUGCCAGCAGCCGCGGUAAUAC
rnacentral:rRNA from 1 species